CUGAAGAAUUGAGGCACUGGAUUUUCACAUCCUAUUUGGGGCCAAGGUGAACCUAGGGUUUGGCCUGGCUUUUGAUCCUUGGGAUGUGACCUGGUUUCAACUGGACAUUUAUCACAGAUCACAUAACACAAGGCACACGUGGACACAGUUGGUGAAAGCAUCAGGAAGUUUGAGAAUAGAAACAGGUCUAAGAAGCAGGAUACAAGGAAGCCCUGAGAUGCCUCUGGGAUGUGUUGCCCAUGGAUUUUCCCCAAAUGGUCCACGUACACCCCCAACACUUCAUGGACCUGGCCCACUCCUGACCCUGUGGCCAGCUCCCUGUGUGUGCUCUUGAUGGUGACAGAAAGCAUGAGCUCUGACAGGUAUGCAUUCAAAGGAAAUGGAGUCACUGUCAUCUACACUCCAGUGUUCAUGGCGGCACCAUUCUCAAUAGUGAAGACUGCUGACCACCUGAGAGCCUGACUGUGGAUGAACAGAUGAAGAAGAUGUGGUCUAUACACACAGCGGAAUACUGUGCAAUCACGAGAAAGGACAUCCUGCUGUUUGUGACCCUACGUAUAGACUUUGAGGGCGUUAUGCUAACUGAACUGGUUGAGACAGAGAAAGACAAAUACCACGUGGCAUCACUUAUUCACGGACGCUGAAGAGUCAAAGUGGUGGAAGCAGGGAGCAGAAU
ensembl:lncRNA